GGAACCUCAGCCGAGCUGGGAGGGCGGGGCGGGGAGAAAGCGCGUAGGCCCCGCCCCUCGCGGCUUUUCCCCGGAAUAGCGUCACCCGCUCUAUAAGAGAGCGUGUGGCGAAUGAUUCGGCCUUUUACAUCCGGGAAGCGUCGAGUUUAGGUGAGAGUACUGCGUUGUGUUUCGUGCGCUAAAAUACUUAAGGCAGAACUUUUGGCCAAGUUUAAAAUGCAGGAGAUGCAACAGUCUUGUAGAAGUAGAUCGACGUCAGCUUGGAAAACCUCUAGGUUCAAACUCCUGAGUGGGCUUAAAUGUUCAUUGAUUCGCGGGGCAGCCACGUUCAGCCGGGGGCGCUGAGUCGGAAAACUAGCGCCCGUGGGCCUUCCGGCAAAGGUUAAAUGCAGCUGAUGACUCCGGUUAAGGUCAUUAGUUCUGCUGUUGGUGUCAUGUGGCCAUCUUGAAUCUACUCCGACACUAUGAAAUAAUAACACCGCAUCCUGAUAACCCGCCAGUUUGAUCCAGGUGGAAGCUGAGCUAAUUGUUCCAGUGGAUGAUGGAAAACAACAAGAAGUCAAGAAAUCCAAAGCGAUAUGGGUGAAGUCUUAUUAGCAUCCUGAAGUACACUGCCAAAUGUGAUUUUAAAUCUCAAGUAUGGUAUUUAAAUGGAGAAUAAAUAAGUCCUUCCUUGCCAUAUCAAUAAAAUGCUCGAUUUGUACAGA